ACGGGUGAGUAACACGUAUCCAACCUGCCGUCUACUCUUGGCCAGCCUUCUGAAAGGAAGAUUAAUCCAGGAUGGCAUCAUGAGUUCACAUGUCCGCAUGAUUAAAGGUAUUUUCCGGUAGACGAUGGGGAUGCGUUCCAUUAGGCAGUUGGUGAGGUAACGGCUCACCAAACCUUCGAUGGAUAGGGGUUCUGAGAGGAAGGUCCCCCACAUUGGAACUGAGACACGGUCCAA
rnacentral:rRNA from 1 species